UUAUCAUAUUUCAUUCAUUUUCAGUUUGUCUGUUUCCACUUUGUCUUUUAGAUAGUAAUCACUUAGGGGAAUUUACCUUUGUGAAAUUGAUCCAUUUAUAUGUAUUAAGCAUCUGCUUUGUGCAAGACUUUGUGUUACAUGCUAUGGAGAAUAUAAAGGUGACUAGAAAAUGGUUCUCACUCUCUUGGAUUAUACAAACUAGUCAAGGAUUUAAGACACUCAAAAAUAACCACUUUUCCUAUCACUACUUUUUCUCUACUCUGUGUGGCUUUACUGGGGUUGUUAUCUUGGAACACUUUCCUCUUUCCUUCCUUUAUCUGUUCUCAGAAUAUUUGUUGGAGUUCCUUGAUUUUAAGCAAAAGAGAUGAACUCUGGCUGAGUUGAGCAAAAAUUGGACUUUGGGUGGGACAUAAGGCAAUCUGCAGAGUUAAUAGGAGGUGUCUUGGGAAGCUUCCCUGAAAGCACAGACUUAGACAGAGAUUAAGGUACCCUUGAUUCAUUGAAGAUUUUCUCUUCAGGAAAACUUUUAAGGAAAGAGGAAAGCAGUGUAGGUAAAAGCAAGGAGCUAAUCAAAGUUAUGGUCUCGGGUUAAGUCUACUCUUAGUUUGCAAGUUUGUGUUUUAAGGGAAGGAUGCUGAACUUUUGCACCUCCCUAUCUGUCAAUUAUUGGCUUCCUUGGGGUGAAGGAUACUGAAGCUUCCAAGACAUAUCUGGGUAGAAGAUGUCAGCCAAGGGUUAUGCUCUGGAAAAAGUUGCAGAUAUAAGCUGCUAGAAGCUGUACACAGAGAAGACGGGUCAUGAAUGCAUUGGAUAGUAAAGGGGAUAUAGAUAGGAUACCACAAUAUUUACUAAAGAAGGGCAAGGAGGUAAGACUCAGAAAAGGUCAAAACCCAGAGUGCUCUGGAGGACAUAGUGGGUCUCACUACUAAGAGUGAAUGAUUACAGUAUUGGGAUGAUGAGCACCAAUGCGUUCCUCGUUAUUGGAACACUCUGCUUACAUCUGGAGUCCAAAAAGAAGGGUUCUGAUUAGAAUAGAGAAGUUUCCUUUUUCUGUGGGUCACUAACCUAAGAACAUACAGAAUUAGAAAUGAAAGAAAUCAAUCUGUAGUUGGAAAGAGUGAAGCCAUACCUAGGAGUUUAUAGAGCUGAGAGAUGGAGUUUUGAGAUCUAAUAUCUUCAGGUGUGCUUCCAUCUAUGAUGAAGGCAGCAUCACUCCUAACUUCUCAGUAAACCAAUAAAUUUCCUUUUGGUUUAAGCUUUUUGGGGGAAGAUUUGCAAUCAAAUGAGCUGUGGCGGGCAGAAUUUUGGUCCCCUGAUGUUAUUCCUGUGAAUAUGUUAUACACGUGGUACAAUGGGUUUUGCAGAUAUAAUUAAGUUUACUAAUCAGCCUACCUUAAAAUAAGGAGAUUAUCCUGGAUUACCUGGUCAUGUCUAACCUAAUCACAUAAACUCUGAAAAGCAGAGAUCUUUCUCUGGCUAGCAGCAUAACUGGAAGUCAAAGAUUUGAGGUGCUGUUGUUGGCUUGAAAAUGAAGGGCCCACAUGUGAAGGAAAUGAGGAUCUCAUUCCUACAACAGCAGUCAACUGAAUUCUACUUCAAAGUGGGAUCUUCCACAGAGCUCCCAGAUAAGAUCAUGGAUCAUCUAACACCAUGAUAUCUGCUUUGUGAUCCCAGAGCAGAAAUACCUUGAGAUUUGAAACAUGUUGUGCUUGAAUUUCUGACCCACAGAACUGUGAGAUAGUAAGUGGAUAUUUUUUUUAAGCCACUAAGGUGGUGGUUACUUAGAAAAUUAAUGCAUGAGACAAAUUAGUGGUACUUUUUCAUUUGAUGACAUUUAUGGAGCCCCUGCCUUGUGUCCAAAUGUCUAGAGUCAUAUGGACACAAACCUUACAUAAAUACUAAAGAUAAAUAAUUAUACAAGACUACUUUCAGGGACUUUAUGGCCUCUCUACAAAAAAUGUUUCCUCCAAAGGAAAUGACCAUGGCUCAUCAUAUCUUUGUCUCAUGAAAACUUCCUGGCACUCAAUUGAUAUUAACUCCUAUUUGUUCUCCUAAACUGAAUGGCUGUAAAAUACAGUUUGCUCAACAAUACACAGUGCUAGGGAGUAAAGAGUUAAGGACAGAAGCGUGGGCUAGAGGUUAUGCUUUAGAGAAUACUUUCCAAUGUCUGGUUUGGCUUUCAAUUUAUAUUAUAAGUGAAGAUGAAAAAAAAAUCAUUUAAAUGCUAAGUCCCUCCCAUCCACCCUUGAAAUCUGGAAUUCAUGUUUUGAUUCUGGAAAUAAGAUUAAUUAUGAAUCUUUAUGGCUCAUGAUUCAAAUGCCCCCACUAGUAGCAUAUGGUCCAGGUGUAAGGCUGGGAGCAGAUUCAAAAGUCAGUAAGCUCAGCAGUUAUUAUAUAUCUGCUUGUCAAGAAUUUAAUGUAAUUAAAUUUAAUGUAAUAAUAUUUAGUGCUUUUCCCCUAGUGACUGGUAUGAAUGUAACUACCCCCCACCCCCACCCCUGUAACUACUCCAGAUUCUUCAGGGUGUCCUGCCUUUGCAUUUUGAUAAUCCAGGGUGAGGUCCCCCUAUAUGCCAGAGAGGUAUGUGAAGCCUGACUCCUCAUUCCUUUGACCUCUACUGGUCCCAGUUAUCAGUUUCUCUCCUGGGGAAAUUUGCGAACAACUGGUCCUAUAUAUUUUGAACUAACUCUAAACUGCCUCCUGACUGGCUUACUUUCCUUUCUUUCACUGCUUAUCUUUAGGUUGGGAAGGCGAAUGUACCUUAAAUAACCUAAGCUUCACUUCCCUUAGGAUUCCCAUACUUGGGAGGAAAUAUCCAAAUACUCUUCCUCCAUAAGAUGACUAAUGACCAUUUCACAUUUCAGAGCUGGGAGAAUUUAGGGUUUCAGUAACUUUGAUCCAUAUAAUAUAUCUGCUGAAAACCAAAUAAACAAAUAAAAGAACUAUACUAUCAUGAUUGAUUCUGUUUUUACAGAUGUGCCAUUCUUGAAGUACUGCUGUCCUUGGAACCAUUGCUUCACAUCUGAAAAACGGCAAUAGGAUUAAGUAACAGUUUGAGUCUCUCUUUGACAUCUUCCCUUGAGAAGAGUUAAAUGUUACCAUUAUCUUGACAGUCCAAAAGCUAGUCAUGUGGUUGAUAUUUUACCAAUGAGGUAAAUGUGGAAAAACGUCACUUUUCCUUUAAUUAGUUCUGUCAGGACAUACUUGGCAAGAGAUAAUAGUAAGGAGAUAUUGGCCUUUAGGCAUCGUCAUAUUUCCUUGUGUGACUUAGGAGUUUGAUGACUUUCAUGUAUCCUUACAGUGACCCUGUCUGGUUUAGAAAUUCUGAGAUUACACUGUCAAAUCUCUUUCCUAUUCCUGAAGACAGAAGUAGUAACACUAACCAAACAUUGAAGUUUUGAUCAGAUGCAGCCACAUAGAAAUGAAAAACACUUAAUCUUAUAUUAACCAGUGGAUAUUUGGGAUUAUGUGAAAAAGUGGUCUUUCAUUUUCUUUUUCUGGAAAAGUUCUUGCUGGAUUAUUUGAUCUGUAUUUUGUUUUUUGUUUUUUCAACUCUACUGUAUUUGCAUGAUCAAAGGUAUUGUUUUCAAACCUAAAUAAGAGGAGCUAUUUCUCUUUUCCUGCAUUAUGAUUAGAGAACCUUGGAACACAUGUAUGACCAUGGCUUUUUACUUUUCUGGUUCAAAUUAUUAGCAUUCAUGGCUUACCCUUGGCAUUCUAUUAAUAGAAAAACCAAUGAAGAAUUAGUUCCUUACUGAUUUUAAAACAUCCAUUUUUUUUUUCAUGCAUGAUGAUUCCAUGAGGGAAAGAAGGUAACAGACAUGCUGGUUAGGCUAGAAGAAUAGACUAUAAAACAGAAUAGCUGAUGUUUAUGAACAUUAGCUAUCUAUGCCUAAUAAUUAUAUGAACAAUAUCACCUUCUGUUUCUGACAAUAUGGUCAGCCAAGUACUCAGACAAACUCUCCCAUUGAAAACUACUAAAACUUCUAUGUAAUGGCUUAAAACAUCAUUGAGCAAGCAACAAAGAAAGGAAUUAUCAGUGUAAAAUCUAGAUAGGUAAAGACAGAGGUCCAGAGACCUAAGCUACCUCUAAAUUUCAUUUUUAUUCUGAGGACAUUUAUUGAACCUAGCAACCUUCAGCUUCAAUUUCCUCAUUGGGGUAAGAGACAGGAAGCAAAACUCAGGUGUGGAGUCUAAUGGAGCCUUCUCCUGAAAGCUGGGACAGACAAGAACACUUUAUCCUCAGCCAUAAAGAUGAACUGUGAAUGCUGCCCUUCCCAUUGGAGAGGCAGAAACAUGAAACAUAUGAAAAAGAUUAAGAGACACAAAGGAGAGAGUGAGAUAUCACACAUAACUAUAAUUUUAGUUUCAUAAAGAAAUAAUAAAGAGAGUGGGAAACACUAUCCAAAGAGAUGAUGGCUAAGAAUUUUCCAGAAUUAUUGAAAGACAUAAAUCCUCAGAUGCAUAAACCCCAAAGAAUGCGAAGAGAUAUUAAAAAAGAAAUCCUAACCCAAACACAUUAGCUUGAAGCUAGAGAACAUGAAAGACCAAAAAAAAAAUUUUUUUAAAGUAGUCAGAAGGAAUAAACUGGCCACCUACAAAGAAAUGCUUGACAGCUGGUUUCUUACAGCAAUAAUAGAAGCCAGAAGCCAGUGUGGUGAUAUCUUCAGUAUGCUGAACAAAAACAAUUGCCAAUUAGGAAUUCCUAACCCAGUAAAACUAUUCUAUAGAAUCAAAGGCGAGCAAGCCUGAACUGAGUUUACUUCCAAAAUAUUAUCACAAAAUUAAUUUCUAAAGGAUACGGUUCCAAAGAAAUAUUUCUGAAAUGAUGAAAACAAUCCUCAAUGAAAAUAUCUGAGCUUCAGUAAGAAAUAAUGGGUAAAGGCAAUUAUAAAUUUAAAUAAAGAUGGGGUGAGGAGUAGGUUAAAACUGAAAUUGUAAAAUAAAGGGCAAAACUAAUACACUGGAAAUCAAUAGAACUCAAGUUGGGAAGGAAGUAAUUAAAGUUAAAAUUGUGUUUGAGAGGGAGGUGAAGAUGUUGAUUUUUUAUAGCAGGUAUACAUACUAUAAUUUAUAGGAAGACCACUAAGAAUAAAAACAGAGUACAUAUCUUCAAAACUAGUAAAGGAGGGAGUUAUUAUUGUGGCUCAUUGGGUUAUGAACCAGGCUAGUAUCCAUGAAAAUGUGGGUUUGAUCCCUGGCCUCACCUGGUGGGUUAAGGGUUCAGUGUUGGUGUGAGCUGUGGUGUAGGUCACAGAUGUGGUUUGGAUCUUGCAUUGGUGUGGUGUAGGCCAUCAGCUGCAGCUCCGAUUUGAUCCUUGCUCGGGAAAUUCCACAUGCUGCAGGUGCAGCCCUAAAAAGCAAA
rnacentral:lncRNA from 1 species